rnacentral:rRNA from 1 species
UACAGAGGGUGCAAGCGUUGUUCGGAAUUACUGGGCGUAAAGCGCGUGUAGGUGGCGAUGUAAGUCGGGUGUGAAACCCCUCGGCUCAACCGAGGAAGUGCACUCGAUACUGUGUCGCUUGAGUGUUGGAGGGGAUGGCGGAAUUCCCGGUGUAGAGGUGAAAUUCGUAGAUAUCGGGAGGAACACCUGUGGCGAAGGCGGCCAGCUGGACAACUACUGACACUGAGACGCGAAAGCGUGGGUAGCAAACAGG